rnacentral:rRNA from 1 species
GAUGAACGCUGGCGGCGUGCUUAACACAUGCAAGUCGAACGAAACACCUUAUUUGAUUUUCUUCGGAACUGAAGAUUUGGUGAUUGAGUGGCGGACGGGUGAGUAACGCGUGGGUAACCUGCCCUGUACAGGGGGAUAACAGUCAGAAAUGACUGCUAAUACCGCAUAAGACCACAGCACCGCAUGGUGCAGGGGUAAAAACUCCGGUGGUACAGGAUGGACCCGCGUCUGAUUAGCUGGUUGGUGAGGUAACGGCUCACCAAGGCGACGAUCAGUAGCCGGCUUGAGAGAGUGAACGGCCACAUUGGGACUGGGACACGGCCCAAACUCCUACGGGAGGCAGCAGUGGGGAAUAUUGCACAAUGGGGGAAACCCUGAUGCAGCGACGCCGCGUGAGUGAAGAAGUAUUUCGGUAUGUAAAGCUCUAUCAGCAGGGAAGAAAAUGACGGUACCUGACUAAGAAGCCCCGGCUAACUACGUG